rnacentral:lncRNA from 10 species
CUCGAUUUAGUUCCACUUUGGAAUGAGGAAAAUAUGAAAAGAAAAAGAGAAGUAAAUUUCUUAGAAUUUCCCCACUCAUGUUUCAGUGCUGAUACAGAAUUCCAGAAUGACUGAGUAUCCUAAGCCCAUGUCAGUUAUCUCUCAAGGUUGAAAGGAGAAACCCGGCGAAAGGAUAGGGCAGUAAAAGAGAACUGAGGUGGCUGUUUGAAAGGGGCCAUGUCUCCUCGGAGACACGUGUCUCUCUAGGAGGAUCACUAUACCGCAUUGUUUCUCCAUGGCUCUCAUGUACUCUUUUGAGACCUUAGUGUGCUGUUUCUAGAUCAACAAUUUAUGAUAUUUAUUGAGCACCUGCAAUGUGUCCAGCUUUGUGCUUGGUGAUGUGAAGGCAAGAGAUAAACACAAAGAGAGUUUUUGCCUCCGAAAUGACAAGCAGAGAACCACAAGGCAAUGUUGAGAUGCAGAGGGUGGCAGUUUCCCUCCUAGCAGAGUGACUCACUCAUGCCUCCACUCCAGGGUGCAGGGCUUAGAUUCAUGACAGGGACCUCAUCAAAUAACCAGGAAAGAUUAAUCACCUGAGAAGAGAAGAGACUGGGAAUCUUCACCCUGCCCAGACAGACUUUUCAUCUAUUCUCCUGAGAGCAGCUCCAAGAGAUUACCUGUGGGACUCAAUUUGCAUAAUAAGAUGACCUUUGUUCCUGUGCAGUUCCACCCCUCACCUUCCCAUAAUGUCUGCCUCCCACCUCCCAGAAAUCAUACUCAGUUGGUUUAAUGGUAGAGUUAAAGGCCAAAUCUGCCAUAUAGUUAAAGGCCAAAUCUGCCGUGAAGCCAGGAGAAAGGAUCCAGCAUACAAACCAUGACAGAAUACACACACAUUUUGGAGAUGCAUGCUUUCUCAAAGCUCUGAGGACCAUCAUGAAGACAUAUUAACUGAAAGAAUACAAAGCGAUGUGAAUAGUUCCUAACUAUUGGAG